rnacentral:rRNA from 1 species
GACGAACGCUGGCGGCGUGCUUAACACAUGCAAGUCGAACGGUGAAGCGCCUUCCUUUUUGGUGGGUGUGGAUGAGUGGCGAACGGGUGAGUAACACGUGAGUAACCUGCCCCCUUCUUCUGGAUAACCGCAUGAAAGUGUGGCUAAUACGGGAUAUUCUGGGUCUGUCGCAUGAUGGGUCUGGGAAAGAUAUUGUUUCGGUGGGGGAUGGGCUCGCGGCCUAUCAGCUUGUUGGUGGGGUGAUGGCCUACCAAGGCGGUGACGGGUAGCCGGCCUGAGAGGGUGGACGGUCACACGGGGACUGAGACACGGCCCAGACUGCUACGGGAGGCAGCAGUGGGGAAUAUUGAACAAUGGGCGAAAGCCUGAUGCAGCGACGCCGCGUGAGGGAUGGAGGCCUUCGGGUUGUGAACCUCUUUCGCCAGUGAAGCAGGCCUGCCUCGUUUGUGGGUGGGUUGACGGUAGCUGGAUAAGAAGCGCCGGCUAACUACGUG